AUGCUGGAGGUAUCAGAAGUGCGAAUGCUGACAUAAGUAACGAUAAAGCGGGUGAAAAGCCCGCUCGCCGGAAGACCAAGGGUUCCUGUCCAACGUUAAUCGGGGCAGGGUGAGUCGACCCCUAAGGCGAGGCCGAAAGGCGUAGUCGAUGGGAAACAGGUUAAUAUUCCUGUACUUGGUGUUACUGCGAAGGGGGGACGGAGAAGGCUAUGUUGGCCGGGCGACGGUUGUCCCGGUUUAAGCGUGUAGGCUGGUUUUCCAGGCAAAUCCGGAAAAUCAAGGCUGAGGCGUGAUGACGAGGCACUACGGUGCUGAAGCAACAAAUGCCCUGCUUCCAGGAAAAGCCUCUAAGCAUCAGGUAACAUCAAAUCGUACCCCAAACCGACACAGGUGGUCAGGUAGAGAAUACCAAGGCGCUUGAGAGAACUCGGGUGAAGGAACUAGGCAAAAUGGUGCCGUAACUUCGGGAGAAGGCACGCUGAUAUGUAGGUGAGGUCCCUCGCGGAUGGAGCUGAAAUCAGUCGAAGAUACCAGCUGGCUGCAACUGUUUAUUAAAAACACAGCACUGUGCAAACACGAAAGUGGACGUAUACGGUGUGACGCCUGCCCGGUGCCGGAAGGUUAAUUGAUGGGGUUAGCCGCAAGGCGAAGCUCUUGAUCGAAGCCCCGGUAAACGGCGGCCGUAACUAUAACGGUCCUAAGGUAGCGAAAUUCCUUGUCGGGUAAGUUCCGACCUGCACGAAUGGCGUAAUGAUGGCCAGGCUGUCUCCACCCGAGACUCAGUGAAAUUGAACUCGCUGUGAAGAUGCAGUGUACCCGCGGCAAGACGGAAAGACCCCGUGAACCUUUACUAUAGCUUGACACUGAACAUUGAGCCUUGAUGUGUAGGAUAGGUGGGAGGCUUAGAAGUGUGGACGCCAGUCUGCAUGGAGCCGACCUUGAAAUACCACCCUUUAAUGUUUGAUGUUCUAACGUUGACCCGUAAUCCGGGUUGCGGACAGUGUCUGGUGGGUAGUUUGACUGGGGCGGUCUCCUCCUAAAGAGUAACGGAGGAGCACGAAGGUUGGCUAAUCCUGGUCGGACAUCAGGAGGUUAGUGCAAUGGCAUAAGCCAGCUUGACUGCGAGCGUGACGGCGCGAGCAGGUGCGAAAGCAGGUCAUAGUGAUCCGGUGGUUCUGAAUGGAAGGGCCAUCGCUCAACGGAUAAAAGGUACUCCGGGGAUAACAGGCUGAUACCGCCCAAGAGUUCAUAUCGACGGCGGUGUUUGGCACCUCGAUGUCGGCUCAUCACAUCCUGGGGCUGAAGUAGGUCCCAAGGGUAUGGCUGUUCGCCAUUUAAAGUGGUACGCGAGCUGGGUUUAGAACGUCGUGAGACAGUUCGGUCCCUAUCUGCCGUGGGCGCUGGAGAACUGAGGGGGGCUGCUCCUAGUACGAGAGGACCGGAGUGGACGCAUCACUGGUGUUCGGGUUGUCAUGCCAAUGGCACUGCCCGGUAGCUAAAUGCGGAAGAGAUAAGUGCUGAAAGCAUCUAAGCACGAAACUUGCCCCGAGAUGAGUUCUCCCUGACUCUUUAAGGGUCCUGAAGGAACGUUGAAGACGACGACGUUGAUAGGCCGGGUGUGUAAGCGCAGCGAUGCGUUGAGCUAACCGGUACUAAUGAACCGUGAGGCUUAACCUU
rnacentral:rRNA from 1 species